rfam:Methyloprofundus sedimenti strain WF1 Contig001, whole genome shotgun sequence.
GGCCGGGUGACUGAUUAUCUGAAAGAAGCCUAAGUGCAAAUCGGCGAACCUAUGAACAAGAACAGCAUAGUAAGGCCGAACCGCAGGACGAGUCAGCACAACAUGAUAAAGCCUAUUUAGAUCACUAUGGGAUGGUAAAUGCUGUGGUUGAACAGGGAAAGAUUAUGUU